UACGAAGGGUGCAAGCGUUACUCGGAAUUACUGGGCGUAAAGCGUGCGUAGGUGGUUUGUUAAGUCUGAUGUGAAAGCCCUGGGCUCAACCUGGGAACUGCAUUGGAAACUGGCUUACUAGAGUGCGGUAGAGGGGUGUGGAAUUCCCGGUGUAGCAGUGAAAUGCGUAGAUAUCGGGAGGAACAUCUGUGGCGAAGGCGACACCCUGGACCAGCACCGACGUUCAGGCACGAAAGCGUGGGGAGCAAACAGG
rnacentral:rRNA from 1 species